CGCCCGGGCUAAAGCCCCGACGGGAGGGGAUGGCUCCGCGGCCCAUCAGGUAGACGGCGGGGUGACGGCCCACCGUGCCGACAACGGGUAGCCGGGUUGAGAGACCGACCGGCCAGAUUGGGACUGAGACACGGCCCAGACUCCUACGGGAGGCAGCAGUGGGGAAUCUUGCGCAAUGGGGGGAACCCUGACGCAGCGACGCCGCGUGCGGGACGGAGGCCUUCGGGUCGUAAACCGCUUUCAGCAGGGAAGAGUCAAGACUGUACCUGCAGAAGAAGCCCCGGCUAACUACGUGCCAGCAGCCGCGGUAAUACGUAGGGGGCGAGCGUUAUCCGGAUUCAUUGGGCGUAAAGCGCGCGUAGGCGGCCCGGCAGGCCGGGGGUCGAAGCGGGGGGCUCAACCCCCCGAAGCCCCCGGAACCUCCGCGGCUUGGGUCCGGUAGGGGAGGGUGGAACACCCGGUGUAGCGGUGGAAUGCGCAGAUAUCGGGUGGAACACCGGUGGCGAAGGCGGCCCUCUGGGCCGAGACCGACGCUGAGGCGCGAAAGCUGGGGGAGCGAACAGGAUUAGAUACCCUGGUAGUCCCAGCCGUAAACGAUGGACGCUAGGUGUGGGGGGACGAUCCCCCCGUGCCGCAGCCAACGCAUUAAGCGUCCCGCCUGGGGAGUACGGCCGCAAGGCUAAAACUCAAAGGAAUUGACGGGGGCCCGCACAAGCAGCGGAGCAUGUGGCUUAAUUCGAAGCAACGCGAAGAACCUUACCAGGGCUUGACAUAUGGGUGAAGCGGGGGAGACCCCGUGGCCGAGAGGAGCCCAUACAGGCGGUGCAUGGCUGUCGUCAGCUCGUGUCGUGAGAUGUUGGGUUAAGUCCCGCAACGAGCGCAACCCCCGCCGCGUGUUGCCAUCGGGUGAUGCCGGGAACCCACGCGGGACCGCCGCCGUCAAGGCGGAGGAGGGCGGGGACGACGUCAAGUCAUCAUGCCCCUUAUGCCCUGGGCUGCACACGUGCUACAAUGGCCGGUACAGAGGGGGCCGAAGCCGCGAGGCGGAGGAAAUCCUAAAAACUGGGCCCAGUUCGGACUGUAGGCUGCAACCCGCCUACACGAAGCCGGAAUCGCUAGUAAUGGCGCAUCAGCUACGGCGCCGUGAAUACGUUCCCGGGUCUUGUACUCACCGCCCGUCA
rnacentral:rRNA from 1 species